rnacentral:rRNA from 1 species
UACGGAGGAUCCGAGCGUUAUCCGGAUUUAUUGGGUUUAAAGGGUGCGUAGGCGGAAAUGUAAGUCAGUGGUGAAAUCCUGCAGCUUAACUGUAGAAUAGCCGUUGAAACUGUGUUUCUUGAGUACAUUUGAGGUAGGCGGAAUGUGGUGUGUAGCAGUGAAAUGCUUAGAUAUUACACAGAACACCAAUUGCGUAGGCAGCUUACUGAGCCGACACUGACGCUAAGGCACGAAAGCGUGGGUAUCAAACAGGAUUAGAUA